UUUGAGGGGGAUGUUGGCUGGCUCGACACAAUUACUCCUAUUUAUAUAUAGUCUUUGUUUUUGUUUUUUCAUCUCUGUUUGAUGAUGAUGAAAGAACAGAACAAAGAUUCACAUAAUGGGAGUGAAGGGGUCGGACCAGGCUUCAUUCCUCUCAAA
rnacentral:pre_miRNA from 1 species